CCCAAACUAAAACAAACAAACUCAUUUGCCAUACAAAUUGUUUACGAUUCAUUAAAAAGCAAAAUUGCAUAUCCCGGAGCUGGCAGCUGAGGCCGAGCCUCCACGGGCGGAGGGGGUAUUCACUGAGUUGCCUUUGUAUGCUGGGACGACCACGCUGGAGGUUCCCACUAUGAACCGGAGUCUGUGCAGCCAGAUGACACAUGAGGUUAAGAAAAUGAGGCCCAGCAGAAACAAUUACUUGGAGUCAUCGAGCAAGUUCAUGUCAGAUGUUUUCAACUCUACCAUAGAGCACCUGGUCAAGGAAAAACACACACACACAAAAGAAACCCCCAACUCUGAAGCAUUCAUGGCUUGUGAAGAUUGAAGAGGAUAUUUCAUAUAAAGCUCCUGGGAAUAGUAAGUCCUGACAUAAAUUUAUUAAUCAAAAUAGUUAAUGAUAAUUUCACUGCUUUGUGUGAUUAAUAAGUGAUAAUAUAAAUAUGAUAGCAUUUUGAACUUCUGUAAUCAUUGUCAUAAUGUCUGCUUUGGGAAUUUGUGUUAAUAGAUCAAUAGGUAAAAAGAAAAUUAUAUUUGUGAGAGUGAGAGUAGAAAGCUGUUGCCAGAACUCCUCAAAAUAAUAAUUAUAGCUGAACUUGAUUGAUUGCCUGCAGUGACACAAUGCUGUGUAGUUUGCAGGAAUUGUCUCACUUGAUCAUCACUUCAAACCGAAGAGGUAGCUACUAUUGUCAUUCAGUACAGAGGCUCAGAGAGGUUAUGUAAUUUAACCCACAUCAGCUAAUAGGAGAUAGAACAUGACUUGAGCUGGGACAGUCUGAUGUCAAAGUUUCUGUUUCAACCACUCUAUUUUUGCACAUAUCUGAGGAGAACCAGAAAUCCCCAAUGCAGAGUUCACACUGAUCCUGGGUAGUUGACAUAUUGGAAUACUAGUCUGAAACAAGCUCUACACUGGUAUCAAACAGGAAAAUGCUGUUGCAACUCCCUGAGUGAAUUUCUCAGAGGAGCCCCAUGACAUGUACAACUAAGAUACCUUCGUGAGCAUUGUCCUAUAAAGGUGGUCUCGUGUGUCAUCCAUUAUUUGCAUUUGGGGUAUUAGUGAGAUGCACUGGGUGUGUACAGAUGGAGGAUGUUGGUCUGUAUUCCUGGGACAGCAUGUUGUGAUUGAUCAGAUCUGUUUGGUUUUCAAGAAUGUGCUCACAAAUGAUUCCACCAACAACCAAACUAUUACAUAUGCAUAUAUGAUGGUCUUAAUUUGGUAAUUGCAUUGUAAUGGUUAAUUUGAAAUUUUCAACUUGAUUGGAUUAAGAGAUGCCAAGGAUUAAGAGGCUUAUGGGUGUAUGGAUAAGGGUGUGUCUAGGAAUGAUUGGCAUGUGGGAUAACUGAAAUGGAGACUCUCCCUAAGUAUGGGCAGCACUGUCCAUGGCUUGGAUGGAAAAAAAGUUGGAACAACAAGGAAGCAACGAUUCUUCUUGAACGGGUUCUUGAUUGCUGCUGUGAUCAUCUGAGGAUAUCGGACUCUUGCUUCUUCACUCUUCCAAAGUGGACUCUGCCAGAGAUUCCCCAGAAGUCUCUGGUCUCGGACUAGAGUUGCACCAUUGAUUCCUCUUGUUCUGGGGCUUCAGCCUCUUGGACUGUGCAGCUACUGGUUCUUCCAGCUCUCCAGCCUGCAGACUACCAUUGUGGACUAUCCAGCUUCUGGUCAUG